rnacentral:rRNA from 1 species
CGGCAGCAUGAUCCUAGCUUGCUAGAUUGAUGGCGAGUGGCGAACGGGUGAGUAAUACAUCGGAACGUGCCCUGUAGUGGGGGAUAACUAGUCGAAAGAUUAGCUAAUACCGCAUACGACCUGAGGGUGAAAGUGGGGGACCGCAAGGCCUCAUGCUAUAGGAGCGGCCGAUGUCUGAUUAGCUAGUUGGUGGGGUAAAGGCCCACCAAGGCGACGAUCAGUAGCUGGUCUGAGAGGACGAUCAGCCACACUGGGACUGAGACACGGCCCAGACUCCUACGGGAGGCAGCAGUGGGGAAUUUUGGACAAUGGGCGAAAGCCUGAUCCAGCAAUGCCGCGUGUGUGAAGAAGGCCUUCGGGUUGUAAAGCACUUUUGUCCGGAAAGAAAUGGCUCUGGUUAAUACCUGGGGUCGAUGACGGUACCGGAAGAAUAAGGACCGGCUAACUACGUGCCAGCAGCCGCGGUAAUACGUAGGGUCCAAGCGUUAAUCGGAAUUACUGGGCGUAAAGCGUGCGCAGGCGGUUGUGCAAGACCGAUGUGAAAUCCCCGAGCUUAACUUGGGAAUUGCAUUGGUGACUGCACGGCUAGAGUGUGUCAGAGGGGGGUAGAAUUCCACGUGUAGCAGUGAAAUGCGUAGAGAUGUGGAGGAAUACCGAUGGCGAAGGCAGCCCCCUGGGAUAACACUGACGCUCAUGCACGAAAGCGUGGGGAGCAAACAGGAUUAGAUACCGCUUGUAGUCCACGCCCUAAACGAUGUCAACUAGUUGUUGGGGAUUCAUUUCCUUAGUAACGUAGCUAACGCGUGAAGUUGACCGCCUGGGGGAGUACGGUCGCAAGAUUAAAACUCAAAGGAAUUGACGGGGACCGGCACAAGCGGUGGAUGAUGUGGAUUAAUUUGAUGCAACGCGAAAAACCUUACCUACCCUUGACAUGCCACUAACGAAGCACAGAUGCAUUAGGUGCUCGAAAGAGAAAGUGGACACAGGUGCUGCAUGGCUGUCGUCAGCUGGUGUCGUGAGAUGUUGGGUUAAGUCCCGCAACGAGCGCAACCCUUGUCUGUAGUUGCUACGAAAGGGCACUCUAGAGAGACUGCCGGUGACAAACCGGAGGAAGGUGGGGAGGACGUCAAGUCCUCAUGGCCCUUAUGGGUAGGGGGUCACACGUCAUACAAUGGUGCGUACAGAGGGUUGCCAAGCCGCGAGGUGGAGCUAAUCCCAGAAAAUGCAUCGUAGUCCGGAUCGUAGUCUGCAACUCGACUACGUGAAGCUGGAAUCGCUAGUAAUCGCGGAUCAGCAUGCCGCGGUGAAUACGUUCCCGGGUCUUGUACACACCGCCCGUCACACCAUGGGAGUGGGCUUUACCAGAAGUAGUUAGCGCUAACCGCAAGGAGGG